UGGGGAAUAUUGGGGCAAUGGGGGGAAACCCUGACCCAGCAACGCCGCGUGAAGGAAGAAGGCUUUUCGGGUUGUAAACUUCUUUUACCAGGGACGAAGGACGUGACGGUACCUGGAGAAAAAGCCACGGCUAACUACGUGCCAGCAGCCGCGGUAAUACGUAGGUGGCAAGCGUUGUCCGGAUUUACUGGGUGUAAAGGGCGUGUAGGCGGAGAAGCAAGUCAGAAGUGAAAUCCAUGGGCUUAACCCAUGAACUGCUUUUGAAACUGUUUCCCUUGAGUAUCGGAGAGGCAGGCGGAAUUCCUAGUGUAGCG
rnacentral:rRNA from 1 species